rnacentral:rRNA from 1 species
UACGUAGGGUGCGAGCGUUGUCCGGAAUUAUUGGGCGUAAAGAGCUCGUAGGCGGUUUGUUGCGUCGGCCGUGAAAACCUGCAGCUUAACUGUGGGCCUGCGGCCGAUACGGGCAAACUUGAGUUCGGUAGGGGAGACUGGAAUUCCUGGUGUAGCGGUGAAAUGCGCAGAUAUCAGGAGGAACACCGGUGGCGAAGGCGGGUCUCUGGGCCGAUACUGACGCUGAGGAGCGAAAGCGUGGGGAGCGAACAGG